rnacentral:rRNA from 1 species
UUAAUUGGCCACAGCCAUAAAAUCAUGCAGCCCAAGAGCGGUGACUCACUGAAGCUAAGUAGGGCUAAGCCACGUCAGUAUCUGGAAUGGGAGACCACAUGGGAAAACUAGGUUGCUGUUGGAA